GCACCUGACACCCUCCUCGAGGGGGUGCGGCUCCGCUCACCUCUGAGCCAGAAUCCAUUAGAUGUCUCUGCCAAGCCAUAGUUGGCAUAUUGCUUUUGCGACCAACAAGAUUCUGGCUCAUCUGGGUUUCACAGUUCCAUAAGUUUGUUUUUGACAGAUUUGUUGAAGACUGUGCAAUAGAAUUGUCGUAAAGCAACGUAAAGAAUGCCUGGCCCAGUUGAGCAUCGUUCAGCCAGUGGCUUAAUCAGUCUUAUACAAAAAUGGUUACGUGGGUCAAGUUACAAAACUACCUUGCGUUUUGCGGACGAAAUUGCUGCACGCACACAACCUCCCCCAAACCUACCCUUGGGUCCUUAUCACAAGACAUCAAAGAUUUAUUACUAUACUAGAGAUGCCAGGCGUGAAGUGGGUCCUUCAACAAUAAUUUCUACCAGUCGACAAAUUGGCUCACCAAGUCAAGUAUCAACCCAAAUUAAACUUAUUACACCGGGUAAAGUUCUGCACUUGGAAUAAAUCAUUUGUAAACUAUAGUUGGAAUAGAAUGGUAUGAAGCUUAUCAAUUGUAUAAAGUGAAUAAAUUAAAUUAAUACUUACCGAUCAUUAUAAUAUUUAAAAUUGUACGAAUUGUAAUUUUUAUCCAAAUAGUGAGCCUAUAAUUAGGAUCCACCCCAACCCACGUACAGUUUUCAGAAACUAAAGACUAUUUGUCACAUGACGCAGAAGUAAUACUCAUGAGGUAUAUGAGGCUACAUUGGGCUACAUUUUAUCAAUUGACGAGACCAUCAAACCUGUGGUCUAUCAGUCUGGCAAUGUAACGUUGGCCUGGAAACAUUAUUGUACAUAUUUAGUUUGGUAGCCAACCAUUAUAAAUAUUGAAUAAGGCAUGUUUAAAGUAUAUAUGCCUUUUUUAUUUUCAUUUUGAUAUAUGUACACAUUUAUGAGACCAGUAAUUCAAUAAAUUAUACACAUACCUAUAACUAGUUCACAAAUAUCAAGGAACGUAAACCAAAACGCAAACAUGUACAAUAUGAGGUUUUUUUGACAUGGACAAGUUGCCACUAAAUGUAAUCAUAGAUGUCUGCGAUGAACGCGUCAUUAUUGGAGGUCUCGGAUAAAAGUGAAUUAGGAGGUAUUUAGUUCUGUACAUAAUCCUAACAACAUUAACUACGAAAUUAAAUUUCCAAAUGAAAAGACAACAAAUUUACAUAAAUGAGAUGCCAGCGCAAGUUACGAUGUAAUACGUAUAAAGUAUUUUCGUAAUGUAAUACAUAACAAUUUUUAAUUACCUAUAUGGAUUAAUAAAUAUAAUAGUGGAAUGUACACGGUUUUCAUUCAACAUGAUAAAUAAUGGUAAUAUCAUUUCAUUUAACAGUGACAAUAAUAUACAAUAUACUAAUAUCCUUUGAACAAUUUUUAACUGGGAUGUGUAAUAUCUUUAUCUUUUGAAUGUACUUGGCGCAAGACUCUACCGAAUCUCCUGAUCUUGCAGCAAUAUUUCGAAAUACAAUUCAU
rnacentral:misc_RNA from 1 species